rnacentral:lncRNA from 1 species
GUAGCUGCUAUUCAGUGUGAUGGGUGGAAAUAAACCACCCCAUGGGAGUGGAAUCUGUCCAGAGAAAGAGAGAAAUGGCUUAUGUGGGAAAAUGUUGGUUGGAGAAGCAUUUGACAGUUUUCAUCAGUUAUUAACACAAAGGUCAGAGAGAAUAAGUGUAGAGGGGGGAAAAGUGGGAAAAGUUUGGAAAAGUAAUAUCUAGAUUUUUAGAGGGAUUCUGAAGCCAUGAAUACCAAGGCUGGUCAGCAUGUUUUUUUUGUUUGUUUGUUUGUUUGUUUUGUUUGUUUUUUGUUUUGUUUUGUUUUUUGCUGAGAAAAACAGCAAGAGAAAACCAGCAAGAGAAAACAGAAGGUCGAUGUACUGAUGGAGUGAAGAUGAAUUUUUUCAAUCAUCUGACAACAAAUAUAUGCUUCAUGUGUUGUGAUCUCUGGCUGUCUCUGGGGCUUUGAUCAGUUAUGAAUGUUAUUUCAUCAUAUGCAUGACCUGUGGGGGAAGAAAUCCUAUAUAAAUGAUUGGGAUUACUGCACCAUGCACCUCACAGCUGCAUGAAGUUUGUAAAUAAUUGAACAAGAUUUUCAUGCCACAGCCAACCUCCCAGGUGAAUUAGAUAUAGUACACAUUAAAAUCAAAUAAAAAGUUAGAUCGCUGUAGUUCCAUCUGGGCUUGUUAUCAUGUGAAGUCCUGCUUGUAAUGAAGAAUACUCAAGGAUGACAUCUGAAACAAUAGUUCCUCAGGUUGAUGAGUUCAGUAAUGAAUCGCUCUGUUAUUUCCUUCCAAGACUGAUUAAAAUAGUACUUGAGCUUCUGAAAAUACUGAAGUGCUUAUAAAUGAAGCAAAAAAAGAUAUCUGGUGAAAAACAAGACAGGGCAUGCUCAUUCAGCGGUCAGUGUCUUUACAGCAAAAACAAAUCCCUUCAGCAAACUCAUGAAUGAAAACAUUGCUUUCAUGUUGAAUAAUUCUGAUUUUGUGAGAGAGCCUUCUCUCCAAGUGGGUUGAUCAUAACUUCUAUCUAAUGUAACUGGACCAACCUUAAGAAUCUAUUGUUUGUAGAUUCAUGAAUAGAGUCUGCCAGGGUAUAUAUCUUACCUAAUUAUGCAUUCAUUCAAGGAUCACAGAAAAAGCAUCAAAGUUUUAGUUUCUGUGGGUAAAAUAAAACUGAUGUAGAUUUAGCUUUGACAAGGAGGAGCACAUAGACAGGAAGAUAAUUAAUACCUGUUACUCACCAGAUUAAGCUAUAUUGUGAUAUAGUCCAUAGAAAAGCAUAAAGUAUUAUAAAAGUUCCAUUUUGUUUUUAAGCUGAGGAGAGAUUAGAAUAGGCCACUUUGAGGAUGGGAUAUAUAAAUGGACCAAAAAAAAAAAAAGUUAGGAUCUACUUAUGUAAGAAUAGAUAGUAUGGGGGGAAACCUAGGGGUCAAAGGAAUGGGGAAAUGAAUGAGUAGAAUUAUAAAACUUGAAAAGCAGGCAAAGGGACAUUUGAUUCAGGAGAUAUGUAAAAUAUCUUGAUCCAAAAUAAUUUCUCUUCUAUUAACUUUUGUAAUAUCUGAUUAAAAAGAGUGACACAUUGCCUUAUUUUUAGAUACCCAUAUGUACUUGUGGGUCCUUGAGGACAGGAAUCAUACCUAUUUUUAUAUUCCCAUAUAAAAUGUUUAGAAUGUAGUUGAACAGCAAAAAUAUUUGUCAAGUCAAAAUAAUUUAGGGAAGAGUAUGGUCUUGGAAAUGGUGGCUGUGGAACACUUAUUACUUUUUCUUCCCUUUUCACAUUCUAAUAAUAAGAUUUGAUUUCUGCAUCUUUUCAUUCUCCUUAGUUUCUUUUAUCCAUUUUAUUACAGUCUUUAAAAUGCACAUCUCAUUACUUUCUUCAAUUUUCAUGUGACAUGACAUCAUUUCCUUCAUGCCCCUCAUUAGAUUAUUUAACGUGCUCAUCUCAUUACACCUUUCCCAUCUUGCAUCUCAUCACAGCCCUUAAACAUGCACAUCUCAUUACACAGUCCUUACAUAUCUCAUUACACGAUUCCAUUUUUGUAUCUCAUUGUCAUUUCAUUUCUGCAUCUUAUUACAUUAAAACCUAGCUCCCAUUAUAUCUUACAUAUUUGGAAAAUUUAUAUACUCUCCCUUCUUUUAUGCAUCUAAUUAUAUGGCCUCUCCUUUAUGUGACCCGCUCAUUACACUUUUCCUUUCACCCAUCUCAUUUCAGCCCUGAAGGAUGCCCAUCUUACAGAACACGUCCUGAGACAGCUCAUUAAACCACCCCACGUAUUCACUUCAUUACAGCUUUUUAACAUAUACAUCUUAUUACAUGGAACUCUUCAUGAAUCUCAUUAAAAUCUCAGAAGAGCUAGCUCACUCUUGAAAACAUGUGGUCAUUCUGCCUCUCAGGAGCAACUGUAUAAGAUGUUUGUCUGACAUGGAGAGGUAAAUGGAAAGGAGAUGCUGGAGGAGGAAGAAGAAAAGGGAAAAGAAGAGAUAGAGGUACAAGGGAAAGAAGCCAAUGAGGGGUGGAGAGGAGUCAUUCAUGGUGCAAUUAAACUCGAAGGAUCUGGAAGCCUGAGGAUCUGCUUGAGCCCCAGUCUAAUGAAGUGAAUGCUGCCACCUGCUGACAGAUUUCCCUGAUGCCAACUGCCUGUAAGUCUCUUCAAUUUCUCAACAAUGCCACUGUACUUCAGCAGGCAUCAGGACUUCCUACCACCACUUGCCAGGACUGCCUCCUUUUGUUUCUUGGUGGAUGCUUGGGUGAAGAGUCCCAUCCAUCAGUCUCAAUCUCCUCAGCAUCUACAGCAAGUCCAUCCCAGCAGAGUAGACCAAUCCUGCUGGGGACCUCCAUUCCUAGGACUCAGCUCUUUCCUCUUUUGAUCCAUUCUGCUCUUGUUCACAGAGCUGUGCUGAGCUAUUCUCUGAGGUGCCAUGAACCUUGAUCUACCAAACAUCAAGAACCUAAGUCAUCCAAUAAAGAUGCAUUGCACCCUG